rfam:Vitis vinifera, whole genome shotgun sequence of line PN40024, unoriented chromosome 11, chr11
GGACUGUGACGAUUCGUGUGAAAGGUCUCGUUCGUCGUAAGGGCGAGUAGCUCGCCUUGCCGACUAUUCUGAUAUAUCACCACCCAUAUUCUGAGUCC